rnacentral:rRNA from 1 species
UACGAAGGGGGCUAGCGUUGCUCGGAAUCACUGGGCGUAAAGGGCGCGUAGGCGGCCAUUCAAGUCGGAGGUGAAAGCCCAGGGCUCAACCCUGGAAUUGCCUUCGAUACUGUUUGGCUAGAGACCGGAAGAGGUAAGUGGAACUGCGAGUGUAGAGGUGAAAUUCGUAGAUAUUCGCAAGAACACCAGUGGCGAAGGCGGCUCACUGGCCCGAUACUGACGCUGAGGCACGAAAGCGUGGGGAGCAAACAGG